AUCAUAAUUCCCAAUAGUGCAAGGAAUAGUAAAACUUCUCGGAUCUUUGACUUUAGAAGGAAGCGUCUUCUGCAGAAUAACACUGCAAUUACCUUGUACUUCAAUUGUCUCCUCAUCUAAAUAUUUCUUCUUUUUGAGGAACUUCUUCAAAUAUUUCGCAUAAGCAAGGAUUUGUUGCAAUGCUUCAGUCAAUGGAAUAGUAAUCUCCAAUUUCUUAAAGAUCUCCUUAAAACACCCUAAUUGUUUCUCUUUUUCCUUUAUAGAAUAAACUUUAGGAUAAGGAAGAGAUUUCUCAGUUUUUCUUUCUUUUUUUCUCUCAUCCUCUUCUUUGUCUUUUCUCUCCCCCUCUUCAUUCUUCCUUUCUUCCUUUCUCUCAGUCUCACCUUUUCUCUCUUCAUUGUCUUUUUUUUUUCACUCAACUCAAAUUUUUCUUUUCUUUCAAUUUCUCUUUCAUCUCUCGACUCCCCACUCAUACUCAUAAUGAUGUUAUACUCCUCUUAGGGUUAACCUCAGUGUUAGUCCCAAAAUUCUUUUCAGACUUGUCCUCCAACUUCUUAGCCAAUUGGCC
rnacentral:lncRNA from 1 species